rnacentral:rRNA from 1 species
GGAUGACGAAGGAGCUUGCUCCUUCUGAUUCAGCGGCGGACGGGUGAGUAACACGUGGGCAACCUGCCCUGUAGAUUGGGAUAACUCCGGGAAACCGGGGCUAAUACCGAAUAAUCCUUCGGACCUCAUGGUCCGAUGUUGAAAGACGGUUUCGGCUGUCACUACAGGAUGGGCCCGCGGCGCAUUAGCUAGUUGGUGAGGUAACGGCUCACCAAGGCGACGAUGCGUAGCCGACCUGAGAGGGUGAUCGGCCACACUGGGACUGAGACACGGCCCAGACUCCUACGGGAGGCAGCAGUAGGGAAUCUUCCACAAUGGACGAAAGUCUGAUGGAGCAACGCCGCGUGAGUGAAGAAGGUUCUCGGAUCGUAAAACUCUGUUGUGAGGGAAGAACAAGUACCGGAGUAACUGCCGGUACCUUGACGGUACCUCAUUAGAAAGCCACGGCUAACUACGUGCCAGCAGCCGCGGUAAUACGUAGGUGGCAAGCGUUGUCCGGAAUCAUUGGGCGUAAAGGGCGCGCAGGCGGUCCCUUAAGUCUGAUGUGAAAGCCCACGGCUCAACCGUGGAGGGUCAUUGGAAACUGGGGGACUUGAGUGCAGAAGAG